rnacentral:rRNA from 1 species
GAUUAGGUAGUUGGUGGGGUAAUGCCCUACCAAGCCGACGAUCCAUAGCUGGUUUGAGAGGAUGAUCACCCACACUGGGAUUGAGACACGGCCCAGAUUCCUAGGGGAGGCAGCAGUGGGGAAUCUUAGACAAGGGGGGCAACCCUGAUCUAGCCAUGCCGCGUGAGUGAUGAAGCCCUUAGGGUUGUAAAGCUCUUUCAGCUGGGAAGAUAAUGACGGUACCAGCAGAAGAAGCCCCGGCUAACUCCGUGCCAGCAGCCGCGGUAAUACGGAGGGGGCUAGCGUUGUUCGGAAUUACUGGGCGUAAAGCGCACGUAGGCGGACCGGAAAGUCAGAGGUGAAAUCCCAGGGCUCAACCUUGGAACUGCCUUUGAAACUAUCGGUCUGGAGUUCGAGAGAGGUGAGUGGAAUUCCGAGUGUAGAGGUGAAAUUCGUAGAUAUUCGGAGGAACACCAGUGGCGAAGGCGGCUCACUGGCUCGAUACUGACGCUGAGGUGCGAAAAGCGUGGGGAGCAAACAGGAUUAGAUAC